rnacentral:lncRNA from 1 species
CUUUUGGAUUAGUCUAUAAUUCUCUCAAGAUCAACAUCAGUGGAAAUAUCAGGCUUUGUGUAAAGGUUGUGCCCUUUAGGUUUCUGGAGGCAGAAUGCCUAGGGAGGUUAUUGUGUUUUGGGAUGAAAAAGAAGAGUAUUUUGUGGCCAUAAAGCAAAGGCAGUUCUAGUUCAAGCAGCAGCAAUAUUAAUGGGUUUGUUUUGCUUUUCCUUUGUAGAUACUCUGAGUAAUUAAUCAUCAGGGGAUCCAACAGUCUUCUUUGUCUGUCCUGUACCACACAUCAAUCUACAAAAGUGCUUAUGGUCCUUGAUGGGAUACUCAUCUUCACUAACCCUCUUGAUUUGUUUGAUGAGCAUCUUCUGGGCAGCAGGUGCUCCCCAAACAGAAAGCAGUGAGCAGUACAUGUAGGAAUCCUCAUGAAAUCAUAUGACUAGUGUAAAGGAGACAGACUGUAGAUGCAUUGUUAAUGAAAAUCCUUGUGUUUCAGGUAAGUGCUGUGUGGGAAAAAAUGAACCAAGGAAGUGGCUAGCAAGUGCUGGGGUGGGGAAGUGAUGCUGUUUUGAAUGACAUGGUUAAGGAUGAUUUACUGGGAAAUAGCAUUUGAUAUGAAAAGAGCCUGCAUGGUCUUCAGGAUGAUAGUUCAGGUGGAAGACAGAGAAGGUGGGAAACCCCCGUUGUGCAUUCUGUGAUGUUAUGUUCAGAUCCCCUUUAGUACAGAGUCCCUCAUUUGUUCAGAGGCUUGUGGAUUGUGCAACUGAUGGCACUGCAGUCUGGACACGCAUCUCAGGGGGAAAAAAAGAGCUUCUAACUUCAAAGUCACAGUAUCCCCACUGUGUCAUCAAAUGAAUCAAGUGGAUAGCUAGUCCACAUAGGAGGCAACCAUGGGGUUCCCUUGCUUUCAAGUAUGUCUAAAGGUAGCCAGGGCCUAUGUCUGAACAGUGUUUCCCAGACUUGUAUCCAGGUGUCACCUAAAUACCUUCUCUUUUUAGACAUUCAGAGAAAAAGCUAUUUACUUGUCUAUUCCAGCUGUCAAUAGCCAUCCUCAUUCAGUGGUUAUACCAUUCUUUUAUCUUCAAAAACAGCAACAGUGGGCCAAGUGUUCUCAUAUUGUUUCCCAGGCCUGACUCUUCUUCCACCAUCUUCUAUGUAUCUGUGAUCCCACUGAUCUACCCAUGUAACCAAGCUGACCUCCUUAAAAUGUAAAACUAACUGAAUAGUAUUCUUAAUUCCACCUGUAGCCUUAGUUCUCCUUUGUGAC